GUCGGAUAGCUACAAGAAAAACUACAACGGGGGGGGGGGGGGGGUGGAAGGCCACCCUUCCCAAAUAAAGGGGUCAACAAGGUGUACACCGCACUCAAUACAGAUCGGGCCAAGAUACUGGAAGAGAUGCGAAGCAAGCCCUUUUUCGAACCAUGUCAAACGAUCCCGAAGCCAGGGAAGAGGGGUCGGAACAAGUAUUGUGCGUACCACCAGAGUCGGGGUCACACGACAGAAGAUUGCACCAACUUGAAAGACUUAAUAGAAAAGAAUGUCCAGAACGGGAAGUUGGUACAGUACGUAGUUGGCCGAGAAGGGUCGGAAGCCCCAGGAGAGGACAACAGCGAGCCCACCCGACAAGCACAG
rnacentral:lncRNA from 1 species